rnacentral:rRNA from 1 species
UACGUGGGGUGCAAGCGUGAAUCGGAAUUACUGGGCGUAAAGCGUGCGCAGGCGGUUUUGUAAGUCUGUCGUGAAAGCCCCGGGCUCAACCUGGGAAUUGCGAUGGAGACUGCAAGGCUUGAAUCUGGCAGAGGGGGGUAGAAUUCCACGUGUAGCAGUGAAAUGCGUAGAGAUGUGGAGGAACACCGAUGGCGAAGGCAGCCCCCUGGGUCAAGAUUGACGCUCAUGCACGAAAGCGUGGGGAGCAAACAGG